rnacentral:rRNA from 2 species
AGAGUUCGAUCCUGGCUCAGGAUGAACGCUGGCGGCGCGCCUAACACAUGCAAGUCGAACGGUUAAAGCCCCUUCGGGGGUGCAUAGAGUGGCGAACGGCUGAGUAACACGUGGGCAACCUGCCCCCCGCACCGGGACAGCCUCGGGAAACCGUGGUUAAUACCGGAUACUCCGCCACCCCCGCAUGGGGGCGGCGGGAAAGCCCAGGCGGAGGGGGAUGGGCCCGCGGCCUGUUAGCUCGUUGGCGGGGUAACGGCCCACCAAGGCGAUGAUGGGUAGCCGGGUUGAGAGACCGACCGGCCAGAUUGGGACUGAGACACGGCCCAGACUCCUACGGGAGGCAGCAGUGGGGAAUCUUGCACAAUGGGCGAAAGCCUGAUGCAGCGACGCCGCGUGCGGGACGAAGGCCUUCGGGUCGUAAACCGCUUUCAGCAGGGACGAGGCCGAAAGGUGACGGUACCUGCAGAAGAAGCCCCGGCUAACUACGUGCCAGCAGCCGCGGUAAUACGUAGGGGGCGAGCGUUAUCCGGAUUCAUUGGGCGUAAAGCGCGCGCAGGCGGCCUGCUCGGUCGGGAGUCAAAUCCGGGGGCUCAACCCCCGCCCGCUCCCGAUACCGGCGGGCUUGAGUCUGGUAGGGGAAGGCGGAAUUCCCAGUGUAGCGGUGGAAUGCGCAGAUAUUGGGAAGAACACCGGUGGCGAAGGCGGCCUUCUGGGCCACGACUGACGCUGAGGCGCGAAAGCUAGGGGAGCGAACAGGAUUAGAUACCCUGGUAGUCCUAGCCGUAAACGAUGGACACUAGGUGUGGGGGGAGGAUCCCUCCGUGCCGCAGCCAACGCAUUAAGUGUCCCGCCUGGGGAGUACGGCCGCAAGGCUAAAACUCAAAGGAAUUGACGGGGGCC